rnacentral:lncRNA from 10 species
UGUACAUUGUGAACUAUAUAUCCUAAAUGAAAUUGUCAACAGGCUGUAGCCUACACUUGUGCUAAUUACUGAGUUUUGGCCAAUCAAAGGUGACCAGCUGUGCAAACCAUGUUCAAAUAAGGCAAACGCCAAGCUGUAAUCAAUUUGGCUGUUUCUGUACCUCAUUUCCAUAUUAUGUACAUUACUUUCCUUUUUCUGUCCAUAAAUGUUUCACCAGGUGGCUGCACUGCGGUCCCUGAGCCUACUCUGGCUCCAGAGGCUGCCCAAUUUGCAAAUUAUUCUUUGCACAAUUAAAGUCUUAAAUUAAAUCACCUAAGGCUUUUAUUUUAACAGAUGAUGUCAGAAGUAGGAUCUGGAGUACAGUGUCUAACAACUCAAAUGAGUGCUGAGCGACCACGCGAGGUACCCACCAACCCCACUGCGUCCACUGCUUUCCCCAGGUAGCUGGGGAUCACGGACAAUCAAUCCCUUCACAAUCUAGAACCCAAAGACUGGAUCUUCUGAGAAUAUCAGAGAAAGACUGACCUUGCCAUCUACACUGCAGCAACACUUCGGGACCUUGAACCUUGAGUUCAUAAUCUCACACCUCAUAAGUGUAUUUCCACACUCUUGAAACUGUACACCGAUUGAGAACCUUAAGUUAAAGUAAUCAGGGAAGUUUCUCCCCAGAAGAAGAUGGCGUCUUUGAUGUGGACAGCUUUUUCCCAAGAUCAUGGAUCAAGACAUCUCUAAUAUCUUGAGGCUCUUAUCCUUCUUUUUUUUUCCCCUUGUUUCUGCUUCUAUGAACAACAGAGUGAAAAGAGGGUCUGUUGUGCGCACUCAUGGGGUGUACUUUCAUUUUUUGAAUAAUUUUGUGGCCAGUUUUUUUCCAUGAAUAAGCUUAUACCUUCAUAGAUGAAAGAUGAAGGCCCAAUGUAGGCAAAGAAUUUUAAUGGUUCAUGUGUUGCCCCACAAUCAGUCAGAAACAGAACAUUCGUUCACUCCGCUUAACUCACAUCAUGGAUUAAAGAGAACUGUUCCAAGAGGCCUUCACUAUUCUAGAAGGGCAUCAUUUGUUAGGUCUGUUUUCCCCCCAUGGUUUGGAGUAAAUUAGGCAAUCACCAGGAAUUUAUCCCUCAUGAUAGGCUCUACAGCAGAUUCUACUGUAAAGCCUAUGGAUGCACAACAGACUGAAUUCUCUUGUGAAAGUUAUGAUAAAUAAAUAGAUUUGCUCUAGAUUACUUACUGGCUAAACGAGAAAUAUCUGUGCAGCUGCUGGGACUUGUUGCCCAUAGAAAAAUACAUCACAUUGGGUAUUAUAGAGAUUCAGUUAUUGCAAUUAACAAAGAGACUACUUAGUUGAAGUGAGUAGACUCUAUCUAGCUCAUGUUUUGAUUUACUUGAUUUUCAUUAGUUUGGUUUAUGGGGACCCUGGCUAAGGAGCAUACAUCAAACCAUUGGUAUUUUCCUCCUGAUAGUCAUAAUAGUAGUCUCCCUGGUGCACUGUAUUCUCUCAAAAGUUUUAAAUGUUUGCUUGCAGCCAUCCCUAGAAUGUCAAACCGUCUCUCUUUAACUAGAAUGACAAGAGCUGAAACAAAUUUGUGGCCAUGAUGGCAAUGUAACCAAUGAAUGACCUGCUGAGACUGGAAACUCAAAAUUAUGGUAACUGAGAAUGAUGUGAAGGCCCUAAGUUUUGGCCACACUCUUACCUAAGUGAGAACUUGGCCAAAAGGGGCAAAUUUUUAAAACAAAAUUAUGGGAGGCCAUUGUUUUGGACUGAGCUUAGGCACUAAGCCCCAACAGACAAAACUAAACCAAAAUGGAGUCACUUGUGCUAAACGUGACAUAUCAAACUAAGGCUUUAAGGAAACACAUAGAUCCUAGAAAAGACUAGGCUUUGUUUUUAUCCUGUAAAUAGGACAUUCCAGAAUAAGGAGGUACCCUCUAUUGUAACCCUUGCAAAAAAUAACCUAAAGUCUUUGUUCCCACCUUACAAAACUCACCGUUCUAUUAUUUUGCAGUGGGCUUCAAGACUAAAUAAGUACAUUUACAAUAGUGAUAAUGACAUCAAUGACUAAUGUUUUGGUCAAUCUCAAAAUUGAGAGGAUGACCAAUGGGGAAGAAUUGUUAAAUCAAGUUUAGCCUUAAGAUACCUCCCUACAUAUUUUCAGUUCAGCCUAAAGAUAUGUCCAUACAUUGUGAACUAUAACCUAAAUGAAACUGUAAACAGACUGUAGCCUACUCUUGUGCCAAUCACCGAGUUUUGGCCAAUCAAAGGUGGCCAACUGUUUAAACGAUGUUCAAAAAAGGCAAACACCAAGCUAUAACCAAAUUAGUCUGUUUCUGUACCUCACUUCUGUGUUCUGUACAUCACUUUCCUUGUUUUGUCCAUAAAUCUUCCACCAUGUGGUUGAGUUGGAAUCUCUGAACCUACUCUGGUAAAGAUUUCUAAUAUCUUAAAAAACAAAACAAAAGAAAAAAACAGGAAGACUGGUAAAUUGCAUCACAUUCUUAUACUAUAUAGACUUGCAAUUUCACAUUUUAAUAUGAUUUUAUAUUAAUAAAAUUAAUUGUUAUAUGACCACUGUAGAAAGCUGUUUUAUUGAUCAAAGAGACUUUAGGAAUAAUCUAGCAUGAUUCUAUAUUAGCAACAAGACAAUUUAGAUUUAGAGAUACUAAGGAAUUAAGAUCACACACUUGGGGCAGAUUACAACGAGUAUGCAAUAUUCAGCCAUCUUGACACCCCUUCGUGGUUGUAGUAAUACAAUUAUUCUGUUAAGAUUCAUUCCUGGCUGGACACAGUGGCUCAUGCCUGUAUACCCUGCACUUUGAGAGGCAGAGGCGGGCAGAUUACCUGAGAUCAGGAGUUUAAGACCAGCCUGGCCAACAUGGUUAAAACCCCAUCUCUACUAUAAAUACAAAAAUUAGCCAGGCGUGGUGGCAGGUGCCUGUAGUCCCAGCUACUUGAGACACAGAGGCAGGAAAACCUCUUGAACCCAGGAGGUGGAGGUUGCCAUGAGCUGAGAUCAUGCCGCUGCACUCCACCCUGGGCAACAGAGCAAGAGGCCAUCUCAAAAAAAUAAAAAUUAUUCUUUACGUUAACAAAUUUAUUGUCAUUUUACAGCAGUAAUUUGCAUAUAUACAUUAUCAAUAUAAAAAUUCAACAAGUAAGCAAACUUAUAUAUAUGCUUUGCAAGCUUAACAGCUAUAAAACAUUUAUUUUAAAAUAUUUUCAUUAAUACUUUUAGAUAUAUUCAAUAAUUGCCAAAUCAAUACUCUGUAUCCAUAAUAAUUUGAAAAUGUAACAUUAAUUUAUAGAGUUAGGUUAGUAGCAUUAUGGACAUUAUCAAACUUCUAUUUAUUUGUGUGAUAUUCUCAUCAAUACAAUUAUAUAUAUUCAGCAAUCCCCAAAUCCACAUCUUGAUAUCUAUAAUAUUUUAAAAAGUUAACAUCAAUUUGUAGAUUAUGUUAGUAGUUAGUGUUAAGGAACUUGGGAACAAACAUUGAAUGUCACAUUAGGAGAAAAAAAUUCCUACUUCUUUUGAAAACAGAAACAUUCACAUUCUCAGAUAUUAUCGCUGCAUUUGUACAUUGUUCUGAGUGAUGAGAAAUUACCUAAUGGGUACAAUGUACACUAUCUUCGCAAUGGUUACACUAGAAGCCCAAACCUCACUACUAUAAAAUAUAUAUAUUCCUGCAACAAAACUGCACUUAUACCACCUAAAUUGUUUUUUUUUUUUUUUUUUAGAUGGAGUUUUGCUCUUGUUGCCCAGGCUGGAGUGAAAUGGCAUGGUCUCAGCUCACUGCAACCCCCGCCUCCCGGAUUCAAGGAAUUCUUCCACCUCAGCCUCCCAAGUAGCUAGGAUUACAGGUGCCCACCACCACGCCUGGCUAAUUUUUGUAUUUUUAGUAGAGACGGGGUUUCACCAUGUUGCCCAUGCUGGCCUUGAACUCCUGACCUCAAGUGGUCUGCCCGUUUUGGCCUCCUAAAGCGCUGAGAUUACAGGCGUGAGCCACCGCUCCUGGCCUACACCACCUAAAUAUUUUCAAAAAAUUAAAAACAUAUUAUACUAAAAUUACAAUUCACAUAGUGAUUUUUAAAACAUAUCUUAAGCCAAUAUAUUUAUGAUGACACAGCUAUGACUUGACACUUUAUUUUCCUAAAUGUAAUGGUAGAUGUAGCCACUAAACAAAUAGUGAAAUACAGUUUCUUUAUUUUUUCUCUUCAUCAAAAGAAAUGGGUUUCUAAAGUAAGAGAAGAUCUCAGAAUAAAUGUAAGCAUGCUCAAAAUAAAAAAAAUUAAAUACAGAGGCAAAAAUGACAAAGUUAUCAAAUAUUUAGAUGUUUAUUAAUAUAAUGAUUUUAGGUUUUUAUGCUACUUUUUCUAAAAUAUUACUCAACUUUCUUGAUUGAAUUUUUUUCACCUAUUUUCUGCAUUAUGAGUAGCUUUGAAAUUAGAACUAAGUAUAGUGACAGUUACUGUCUUUCCACUUGAACGAGGUCUCAGUCCACAACAAAGCUCUAUUCCCCAAAUUGAAACACACCUUAUUUAAUUAACCUAGCCAUAAAAGAAAAAUGAAUCUUGUAGUUGGAUUUUGUGUAAUAAAAACAAUAAAUUUGUUUUUCUACAUUGUUGCACACUUCAAUAAACGGUGGUUUUCUUUUAGUUAUAUUGCCAUACCUAAGAUUGUGAUAGAAGAUUGUAUGCAUUUAUUUAGAUUGCAAGGUGCAAUGUUGUUUAACAUUGUAGUAGUCUUUGAUAUAUUUAAUAAAAGUGUUCCAAAUUUAUUUACUGACUUAAGGUCUCACAUCACAUUCAGAACUUUAGUGAAUGAUACUUUAUAUAAAGAAACAUCAUAGAUUCAAAUCUGUCCAACCGUUUUCCAAAUGAGUUUCAGUGUGAUUCAAAUGUGUAAUUUAACAGAUAAAAAUGCAACACUCUCUAAUUUGUUUGCAAAAAUAACAGAGUGACCAAAACAAAAAAAGCACACACACACACACACACACACACACCACAUACACACACAAAAUCAAGAAAACAAGAAAGAAAAAGCUGAUUUUGUCAUGCAAGUUUGCAGUAUGAGAUAGAAACUGCAUACCGUAAUAUUUGUUAGCCUGGCAGAGGACAAUCUUCUUCCAUAUGAUAGUUUUAUAGUAAUAUUGUCAGUGGGAGCAGAAAGAGCUGCUCCACUGAUGAAUUAAAAAAUGUUUACUUCACUCUUAUUUCAUUGUUUUUAAUUUUAUCUGGUAUAUUUUGAUAACAUAUGCUUACAGUUUGUAUACUUAUUCAAUUACUAGUGUAAGUAGACAAAUGUUUAUGUACUGUGGAGGAGUACUUAAAAUUUUUUAACGGUGGGAUGUGCAUUCAAAAAAAAUUUGAAGACCACUAUCUUCUAUUUGUUCUCCUCUCCCCAUUGUUCUUUGUAUUUUUUCAUUAAAAAUUUUGUUAUGGAUACAUUAUAGUUUUACAUAUCGAUGGGGUACCUGUAAUGUUUUUGAUACAAGCAUAUAGUGUGUAGUAAUCAAAUCAAGGUAAUUGGGAUUUUCAUAACCUCAAGUAUUUAUUAUUUAAUUGUGUUAGAAACAUUCCAAUUUUACUCUUCUAGUUAUUUUGAAAUAUACAAUAAAUUAUUGUUAAUUAUAGUCACCCUGUUGUGCUACUGAACAUUAGAUCAUAUUUGUUUUUACUUCAUUGGAUUUUUAGUUAAUGGGUACAAAACAACAGCUUGUUUUGUAUUUUACUCAGAGCCUUAUAAUUGUUACUCAAACCUUGCUAAAUUAGGUUUUUUUCUCAUACUAUACUUCUUUGUGGAACCCCAAUGUUUAUAUUCACCCCCAAGAACAUAAGCCCAAAAAGCCAGCAAAUAUGACUCUUCAGAAUGAAACCCCUAAGAUAUAGCAUACUGCAGUGUGCAUAUUGACAGUAAAUAUAUUCUACUCAAAUGAAGGAUUUUUUGAUGAAAGUUUUAUAUACAAAUGUUUUAUAUAUUUGUAUGUUAAAAAUAUAUAUGCAUAUAUACACAUAAGCUUUAGCAAGAACAAAAAAAACAAAAUAAUAGUAGUGCUUUAAAAGACUGAAACCUUACAUACACCUUACAGUUACUUUAUUAGAGGACACAUUUAGCAUUAGGACGGUGCUUUACAUACAUCCAUUAAUUAAUACUCAAAUACCCCUGAAGAGUACUUUUGGAAAGUGCCAUUUAAAGAAAAUAGAAAAAAAAAAAAAAAGAAGUUAGUAAUUUGCCAAGUGUCAAAGAUUUGUUCAAUAGCAAACCUUUUCCAAAGACCAUAGCCUUCAUGUUUCUUAUUCUUGUGAAAAUGUUCAAGAAUGGUACUCGGAUUAAGUUCUUUAACAUUAUAAAAUUCUGGUAUGUUUUUUAUAAUUAUUAUAUAUAACUAGUAUUAUUUUGAAGUAAUACUUGUAUUUGUUUUUGAGCUAUUUGACAAUGGCAUGAUCAUUCUGUGAUUCAAAUAAAUUCCUAAAGCUUCAGGAGAGUUUUUUCGUGACUUUAUUUUAAAAGAUUGCUUUAAGGAUGCUAAGACUAAGACUUUUGAGAGGAUUUGCUGUCUUUAUUUAGACAGAUCCCCAAAACUGUGCUGGGUGCUUGCAAUUGCAAAUCUUGGCUUACUUGAUGUUUUAGUUUAUUUGAGCUGCUACAACACAAUACCAUGAACUGAAGAGCUUUUAAACAAUUGAAAUUUAUUUCUCACAGUUCUGGAGACUGAGAAGUUCAAUAUCAAGAGCUGAUCUGGUGUCUGGUCAGAGCACACUUUCGGCCUUAGAGACAGCAACGUUUUGCUCUGUCCAAAUGUGGUGGAAGGGGUGAGCAGGGUCUCUCUUAGGCCUCUUUUCUAAGGUCACUAAUCCUAUUAAUGAGACCCUGCCCCCAUGACCUAAUCAUCUCCCCAGGGCCCUGCCUCUUAUUACCAUCACCUUGUGGGGCAAGAUUUCAAUAUAGGAAUUUUGAAGGGACACAAAUAUUCAGACCAUAGAACUUGAUGAAAGACCCAGUUACCUGGUUUCUGUAAAAAGUGCCUAGGAGGCAAUAUAAAUUGGAUUAACAGAUUUGUCCCUUUACUAAGACAUGAGAAGGAAUAAUUUAUUUAACUGAAAAGCACAUUAGACUACAACUGUUUUAAUAAUCAUUCUCUCAUUCAGUAAUGUUACUCUUUUGAGCAAAGUUUCUAACCCCUCUCUCUGUUUUGAUUUCCUAAUCUAAAAAUAGAGACCACAUCCUUUUACCAUUUCUUCUCUUUUCUUUCUUUUUUUCUUUUCUUUUUUCUUUCUUUCUUUCUUUUUUUUUUUUUUUAAGACAGAGUCUCCCACUGUAGCCCAGCCUGGAGUGCAGUGGCACAAUCUCGGCUCAAGGCAACCUCUGCCUCCCAGAUUCAAGCUAUUCUUGUGCCUCCGCCUCCCAAGCAGCUAGGCUUAAAGGCACGUGCCACCAUGCCUGGCUAAUUUUUGUAUUUUUCGUAGAGACGUGAUUUUUCUAUGUUUGCCAGGCUGGUCUCGAACUCCUGUACUCAAGUGAUCCUCCCUCCUCCACCUCCGGAAGUGCUGGGAUUACAGGCAUGAGCCAGCAUGCCCGGCCCCUUUUACCAUUUCUAUUUCUUAGAUUUGGGGGAAAUAUUAAGAGCAGUAAUGUUGUUAAAAUGUGUAAUGCCAUUGCUUUUGUUGUUGCUAAGUAGCAUUUUGGAAUACUAUUAUAGAACAUCUGUGAAAAAAUUAUGCUAUGCAAGCUAGAAUGACAUUCUAGAACACUAUUUGAAGUUAUCAUCUGUUGCCAGUCUGCAAUAUUUACCAUAGAAAUAUAAAUGUCAAGUAAAUUGAUAAAAUUUAUUUAUUGAAAUAAUUUUAUCUAUUAUCUUAAAGAAGGUAUAAUUACUCUAGAUUUUCUCCAAGUUUGUGCAAAUUUUCUUAUUUUUCUGAGUCUUACAUGAUACAAAUUGUUUUAUGGCUUCCAACAAAAAUACUAGAACAGAAAAUGGAGGUCAAAUAAUAGAAGUAGUACUUAUUUGAAGUUCUGUAUACUUAAUUAUUAAUUAACCAAUACUUUUAAUAAUAUAGUCUUAACACUAUUCAUAGGUUAUGCAAGUAUGUAUGGAUGUGUGUCUAGUUGAAUUCUUCUCUUGGUAAAACUUCUUUGUACAACUUCUUGAUUUCUCUCAACUGGAAUUACAACAAGGGUUUCAAUAUACUAUCAAUGGUAAUAAUGAUAAGCGGUGCCUACCUAUAAACUGUAAUGAGAAUAUAAACAAGAAAUACAAUUUCCAGUAAAUAGAAGUUUAUUUAGUUUUAUAAUAAGUUUAAUUUGGUACUAAGAAAUUUAAAUAUAUGAGUUAAAGUAUUCAAUAGAUAUACAAAUGUUUAAUACUAACAAGUUUGUAAAGCUCAAAUAUACUCUUAAAACAUAAUUACUGUUAAUAAUGAGGCAAUGUUAUAAUUAAAGCCAGAGAUAAAAGGAGGCAUAUAUCCAGAACCAUCCUUUAAUUUUUUCAACAAAAUUAAUAGUCUAAAAAUUACUGAGAACAGAUGUCUUCAAAUCCUAAACCAGAAAAGAAAGUGUAAAAUCUUUCUCACCCUCCUUUAGUAAUACUUGAGACCCCUCAAAUUUGACUAGUUCUCUCCGAAAACUAAAGAGGCACAUAGAAAUUCUAGACUCAAAGAUGGAAAGCUGUCCCAGCAUUAAGGUAAAUUCUCUAUCUGCAAGCAAAAAUGAACAAGCAAGAAAAUAAAAUCUUUAAGAAAAAAAUAUAAAACUAGAGCAUUCGUUGCAUUUCCAGUCACUGAAAUUCUGAAGAUGAAUUGGACUCUGCAAGCAGCUGCUCUCUUGGGCUUAGGUGUUGUUUCUUCGUGGAAUCC